UUCCUCUCAGGGUCGCACUUGGAGAGUUUCCAGGGAUCUACCAGUCUCGAUUAUGGGAGGGAGAGUGAAGCAGAGGCCUACCCUUUCCAUUUCUAGCUUGGGCAGUGGCUAGUGAGUGGAAGGCAAUCUACUACGAGU